rnacentral:rRNA from 1 species
AUUGAACGCUGGCGGCAGGCUUAACACAUGCAAGUCGAGCGGGGUGAUGGUGCUUGCACUAUCACUUAGCGGCGGACGGGUGAGUAAUGCUUAGGAAUCUGCCUAUUAGUGGGGGACAACAUCUCGAAAGGGAUGCUAAUACCGCAUACGUCCUACGGGAGAAAGCAGGGGAUCACUUGUGACCUUGCGCUAAUAGAUGAGCCUAAGUCGGAUUAGCUAGUUGGUGGGGUAAAGGCCUACUAAGGCGACGAUCUGUAGCGGGUCUGAGAGGAUGAUCCGCCACACUGGGACUGAGACACGGCCCAGACUCCUACGGGAGGCAGCAGUGGGGAAUAUUGGACAAUGGGGGGAACCCUGAUCCAGCCAUGCCGCGUGUGUGAAGAAGGCCUUAUGGUUGUAAAGCACUUUAAGCGAGGAGGAGGCUCUUUUGGUUAAUACCCAAGAUGAGUGGACGUUACUCUCAGAAUAAGCACCGGCUAACUCUGUGCCAGCCGCCGCGGUAA